rnacentral:rRNA from 1 species
GUGAGGGCGGCAGCUACACAUGCAGUCGAACGGUAACAGGAACAAGCUUGCUUCUUCGCUGACGAGUGGCGGACGGGUGAGUAAUGUCUGGGAAACUGCCUGAUGGAGGGGGAUAACUACUGGAAACGGUAGCUAAUACCGCAUAACGUCACAAGACCAAAGAGGGGGAGCUUCUGGCCUCUUGCCAUCUGAUGUGCCCAGAUGGGAUUAGCUAGUAGGUGGGGUAACGGCUCACCUAGGCGACGAUCCCUAGCUGGUCUGAAAGGAUGACCAGCCACACUGGAACUGAGACACGGUCCAGACUCCUACGGGAGGCAGCAGUGGGGAAUAUUGCACAAUGGGCGCAAGCCUGAUGCAGCCAUGCCGCGUGUAUGAACAAGGCCUUCGGGUUGUAAAGUACUUUCAGCGGGGAGGAAGGGAGUAAAGUUAAUACCUUUGCUCAUUGACGUUACGCGCAGAAUAAGCACCGUCUAACUCCGUGCCAGCAACCGCGGUAAUACGGAGGGUCUUAGCU